rnacentral:lncRNA from 1 species
CUUCCUUCCCCACUCCUUGGAACUGGUUCAACCAGAGUACAACCAGCUCAUCUGCAUCUGGCCUCACAAGACAGGCAGGAGGCAGCGGAGGAGGAGGAGCGGGCAGGCGGGCGGCCAGGAGCUGCAGCGGCUGCCACGUGAGCGCACAGCCGGGGCCGCGCCGCGCCGCGCCGCGCCGCCCGGGACGCCAAUGCCGGGCCGGCGGCGCGCGGGGCUUGCUCAUGAGGCCUCUGCCGAGCCGGAGGAGGAGGAGCCACGGCCUCUCGCUGGGAGUCUUCGCCCUCUGCUUGGCCGCUGCCCGCUGUCUGCAGACUCUCAACAUGGGAAGUUAUCCAUCAGGCCUCCUCCUCAUCAGUGCUCCCGCUCAUUUGGAAGCAGAUGAUCCAAGACUCAAGCAGGUGGUGCCUUCCCGGCAUCUGGGGAGAAGGGCGGCGUUUCCUCUCUGCCGGCAGAAAAGGAGCUGAGAAGAACAUCGGGCAUGUCGUGAGCACCUAUGAAGUGCCAGACCCUGUGCUGGACACUGGUGUUUCUGAGAUGAAUCGGAAACGAGUUCUCCCAGCAAAGAUCUCACAGUCUAGGGCAGAUCUACCAUGCACGUGUGUGCUUCCUGCUGCCCUCACCACCCCACUCCCUCCCCAGUCCAGGCCAGAGACUGGCCCAGGUCUGGCCACACUCAGCACCUUAGGCUGUUCCCACCUGUUUGAGCUCCAGCCAUGA